AGCACGGACUUCGGUCUGGUGGCGAGUGGCGAACGGGUGAGUAACAUAUCGGAACGUAUCCAAUAAUGGGGGAUAACUAAUCGAAAGGUUGGCUAAUACCGCAUACGCCCUACGGGGGAAAGCUAGGGACCUUCGGGCCUGGCGUUAAUGGAGCGGCCGAUAUCUGAUUAGCUAGUUGGUGGGGUAAAGGCCCACCAAGGCGACGAUCAGUAGCUGGUCUGAGAGGACGACCAGCCACACUGGAACUGAGACACGGUCCAGACUCCUACGGGAGGCAGCAGUGGGGAAUUUUGCACAAUGGGCGAAAGCCUGAUCCAGCCAUCCCGCGUGUAGGAUGACAGCCCUACAGGUCGUAAACUACUUUUGCUUGGGAAGAAACCCCUGGAUUUACUCCGGGGCUGACGGUACCUUGCGAAUAAGCACCGGCUAACUCCGUGCCAGCAGCCGCGGUAAUACGGAGGGUGCAAGCGUUAUCCGGAAUCACUGGGUUUAAAGGGUGCGUAGGCGGCGUUAUAAGUCAGAGGUGAAAGCUUGCAGCUUAACUGUAAAAUUGCCUCUGAUACUGUAGUGCUUGAAUCAGGUUGAGGUCAGCGGAAUGUGGCAUGUAGCGGUGAAAUGCAUAGAUAUGCCAUAGAACACCAAUUGCGAAGGCAGCUGGCUGGGCCUGUAUUGACGCUGAGGCACGAAAGCGUGGGUAGCGAACAGGAUUAGAUACCCUGGUAGUCCACGCCCUAAACGAUGCUAACUCGAUAUGUGUCCUUUUGGGUGCAUGUCUAAGGGAAACCAAUAAGUUAGCCACCU
rnacentral:rRNA from 1 species